UUGGAGGGCAAGUCUGGUGCCAGCAGCCGCGGUAAUUCCAGCUCCAAUAGCGUAUAUUAAAGUUGUUGCAGUUAAAAAGCUCGUAGUUGAAUUUCGGGAUCAGAGUGUCGGUCGUGCCUCGGUACGCACUGGUAUUAUUGGUUCCUACCUUCUGAAGAACCGCGAUGUCAUUAAUUUGGUGUCGUGGGGAAUCAGGACUGUUACUUUGAAAAAAUUAGAGUGUUUAAAGCAGGCUUACGCUUGAAUACAUUAGCAUGGAAUAAUGAAAUAGGACGUUUGAUUCUAUUUUGUUGGUUUCUAGGAUUGACGUAAUGAUUAAUAGGGAUAGUUGGGGGCAUUAGUAUUCAAUUGUCAGAGGUGAAAUCCUUGGAUUUAUUGAAGACUAACUACUGCGAAAGCAUUUGCCAAGGAUGUUUUCAUUAAUCAAGAACGAAAGUUAGGGGAUCGAAGACGAUCAGAUACCGUCGUAGUCUUAACCAUAAACUAUGCCGACUAGGGAUCGGAUGAUGUUAAUUUUUUAAUGACUCAUUCGGCGCCUUACGGGAAAC
rnacentral:rRNA from 1 species